AUCCCAAGAAUAUAUACCCAUAAUAUGGCUACAUGGUUUUUAUUUUUUUUAACUUAAAGAUAGUAUUAUUUCAAUUUUUCCAGAUUAGACAACUCUAUAAAAUGGUAAAUAAUUAUUUCUACAUAGAAGUGGUUGUUUUAAUCCACAUGAAGCAUCAUGAAUCUGUUAAAUAAAUGCCCAGUAAAAAUAUCAAUUCAAAACGUGCCCAAAUUAAUGUAAAACUUGGUUUGGUGCUUCAAAUUACAAGAUUUAAACCU
rnacentral:lncRNA from 1 species